rnacentral:lncRNA from 1 species
CUCUAACAGCCCUUUGCUGUAUAGACUUGCCCCAUGCAUUAAUGAGACCCCAAAAGUUUAUGCAGGGAGAAGGAUAACGACUUGGGAUAUGAGCCAGAGCAUAACAUUUCAGGAGACAGAUGUUUUAGGUGUGCCUAGGACACUUCUUUCUCUGGACUACAGACUCCUGUGAAGUGCUUCCACUGACAUUCUGGCAAAGGCUGGAACAAGAAAAGGAAAUCUCCCCAGAGUUCGACCUGUAGGAUCAAACUCAUCAGCCCCCAAGUAAGAGAAACCUACUUACCCAUAAACAUGAUGGCUGCAA